rnacentral:rRNA from 1 species
GACGAACCGUGCGAACGUUGUUCGGAUUCACUGGGCGUAAAGGGCUCGUAGGCGGCCAACUAAGUCAGACGUGAAAUCCCUCGGCUUAACCGGGGAACUGCGUCUGAUACUGGUUGGCUUGAAUCCGGGAGAGGGAUGUGGAAUUCCAGGUGUAGCGGUGAAAUGCGUAGAUAUCUGGAGGAACACCGGUGGCGAAGGCGGCAUCCUGGACCGGUAUUGACGCUGAGGAGCGAAAGCCAGGGGAGCAAACGGG